AUAAACAAUUUUUAUUGCUUUUUUAAAAGUUAGAAGCUUUUUAUAUUAUUUCUUU
rnacentral:tRNA from 1 species